UCACAAUUUUGUGUACGGCUGGUACAAAGGCCGAUAUAAGCUUUUAUAUCGAUAAUACAUUUAACAUUCACCAUUAAUGAUCUAAUAAAGAGGACUUGUUUGUUGGGUGAGACUUAUAUAUAAGAUUUGUAUCUUCAAAUUGAUUCCGACCUCUUCAAAUUGAUCAGCAAAAAUUGGAUGUUGCGUUAUAAGCCGCAGAAGUGCUUAUGUCUAUAAAAAGAUUUCGCAGCGAUUCAGGUUAGCGUCUUUGAUUUUUAGAAAUACUUUUCAUUAUAAUUAGUAAUCCGGUAAAUUCAAAAAUGCAAAUAACAUUUCUAAAAAAUACUUAUCAACAUUGACUACGGCGCUAUUUAAAUAAAGUCAGAAUCUCAAUUUACUCUAUAUGUUAAGUUUUCAUUUAAUUUUCAUUUAGUUUAUUUAGUUCAUAUUAAUUCAUGUUCUUUUAUCACUCGGUAUUUUUCUUUAGUUAAAUUUAAUGCCUUUGGUUGACUCACCUUGUUAAGGAUGUAUUUCAUUUGUUUAAAUAAUUUAUUUUUUUGUUGAAUUUCAACACCUCGUUUUGAGGCCUUAAACAGUGCGCGAUUCAUUCGAGCUCUAAAGCCCUGGUUUCCUCAAAAGCGGUACCGAUAAGUUGCGGCCGCAAUAAUGCGUUGAAUGACGACAGAUUGCGGUGGAAAAAUCAGGGUUAUUAAUUGCGGCAAAUAAAUGUGUAAACUCAGAAAGCGUCGCCAGUACCGUUUUGCGUUAAAAACAAUCGACAUGGACGAUCUCGAUGUUGCUCUUUUGGUAGUGUUAAAUGGAGAGGAAUUAGAUGAAGAGAUACAUAGAAGGAGUGAAUCUGACCUUUUUAAGAAAAGAACUACAGAGGGUACUUACAAAAUUUUGAUUUGUCGCCAUCUAUAUACUAACGAAAAUAAGUUCAGGGAAUAUUUUCGUUUGACACCAGUCUUAUUUGAUUAUGUCUUGGGAUAUAUAAAAGAUGAUCUUUCUUCAAAACCAACAAAUCGUGUUCAAAAUCCAUUGACUCCUGAGCAAAAAUUAUGCCUGCUUCUAAGGUUUUUGGCUACAGGAGAAUCAUUUCGAUCAUUGGCGUUUCAGUUUAGAAUAUGCCAUUCGUGGAUUAGUGUAAUAAUAAGGCAGGUUGCUGAAUCCAUUGUUGCAAGAAUGCUUACUUUGGUAAUGCCAAAACCAACAGAGGAAAUGUUCAAAACCAUCUCUACGAAAUUCAGAUCUCUUUAGGAUUUUCCGAACUGUGUUGGAGCAAUUGAUGGUAAGCACAUUCGGAUAAAGGCUCCAAAAAAUAGUGGAUCCACUUUCUUCAACUACAAGAACUUUCAUUCUGUAGUGAUGUUGGCACUUGUAGAUGCAGAUAAUAAAUUUGUUGCAGUAGACAUAGGAUCGUACGGCAGAGAAGGAGAUGCAGGCAUAUAUUUAAAAAGUAGAUUUGGAAAAACAAUUCUGAAAAAAGAAUUUAAUAUUCCACCGCCACAACCAUUGCCUGGCAUGAAUAUGCUGGUGCCCCAUGUUAUUCUCGGCGAUGAGGCAUUUGCUUUUCAUGAGCAUCUCAUGAAACCAUAUCCACGAAAUCAAUCAGUAUCUGAUAAAACUAAAGCAAUCUAUAAUUACCGACUUUCCCGAGCUCGCAGAACAACUGAAAAUACCUUUGGCAUUCUUUGUGCAUUUUUUCGGAUAUUUUUUCAGCCAAUUGCUACGCGUCCGGAAACCACGGAUAAACUUAUAAUGUGUGCCUGUAUUUUAUAUAAUCUUCUGCGAGAAGCAAAUAUUCUUCCGACAGUGACUAAUAGGACAGAGAAAUACUCACUUCCUACAGAAAAUUUACUUCCACUAAUUCACAACAACGUACGCGGGGCAAAUAUACCAGUUCAAAUUCGUGAGACAUUUAAACGUAUUUUAAUGGACCCGGUGCUGUAGCAUGGCAGGAACAGCAUUA
rnacentral:lncRNA from 1 species